GAUGAACGCUGGCGGCGUGCCUAACACAUGCAAGUAGGACGCAGUUGCGAACGGGUGAGUAACGCGUAGCUAACCUCUACUCAGAGGGGGAUAACUAUUGGAAACGUUAGCUAAUACUGGAAACUAGUGGAUGGAAUUACGUUGUAUUAGCUAGUAGGUAGGGCAAUGGCAUCCCUAGGCAAAGAUACAGAGACGACCUGGUAGGGUGAUCGGCCACACCGGGACUGGGACACGGCCCCGACUCCUACGGGGAGCGGCAGUAGGGGAGCUGCGGCAAUGGGGGGAACCCUGACCGUGAAACGCCGCGUGAGUGAGAAAGGUUUUCGGAUCGUAAAGCUCUGUUGUUAAGGAAGCGGUACUUAACCAGAAAGGGACGGCUAACUACGUGCCAGCAGCCGCGGUAAUAC
rnacentral:rRNA from 1 species